AGCGAACAUUGGCGGUAGGCUUAACACAUGCAAGUCGAGCGAGGCGUAAUAGUCGAGCGGCGAACGGGUGCGUAAUACAUGGGAAUCUACCCUGAAGUGGGGGAUAACGUUCAGAAAUGGACGCUAAUACCGCAUAAUCCACAUUGGGAAAGCGUUGCAGCGCUUUAGGAUGAGCCCAUGGCUGAUUAGCUAGUUGGUGAGGUAAUGGCUCACCAAGGCGACGAUCAGUAGCUGGUCUGAGAGGAUGACCAGCCACAUUGGAACUGAGACUCGGUCCAGACUCCUACGGGAGGCAGCAGUGGGGAAUCUUGCGCAAUGGGGGCAACCCUGACGCAGCCAUACCGCGUGAGUGAUGAAGGUCUUCGGAUUGUAAAGCUCUUUCGGCGGGGACGACGAUGACGGUACCCGCAAAAGAAGUCACGGCUAACUUCGUGCCAGCCGCCGCCAUAA
rnacentral:rRNA from 1 species